rnacentral:rRNA from 12 species
GGGUACCGAGCGGCGAACGGCUGAGUAACACGUGCGUGAUCUGCCCUGCACUUCGGGAUAAGCCUGGCGAAACUGCGUCUAAUACCGGAUAUGACCUCCUAUCGCAUGCACGCGCUGGUGCAAAGAUUUAUCGGUGCAGGAUGCGCCCGCGGCCUAUCAGCUUGUUGCUGGGGGUAAUGGCCUACCAAGGCGACGACGCGUAGCCGACCUGAGAGGGUGACCGGCCACACUGGGACUGAGACACGGCCCAGACUCCUACGGGAGGCAGCAGUGGGGAAUAUUGCACAAUGCGCGAAAGCCUGAUGCAGCGACGCCGCGUGACAUAUGACGGCCUUCGCGCUGUAAACCUCUUUCAGCAGGGACGAAGCGCAAGUGACGGUACCUGCAGAAGAAGCACCGCCUAACUACGUGCCAGCAGCCGCGGUAAUACGUACGGCGCAACCGUUGUCCGCAAUUACUGGGCGUAAAGAGGUCGUUAGGCGCGGGUUUUUGUCGCGUUCGUUUUUGUCAAAAACCUAGCAGCUGCAACUGCUGCCUUGCCAGGCGAUACGGGGCAGACUUGAGUACUGCAGCCAGAGACUGCGAAUUCCUGGCGUAGGCGGUGAAAAUGCGCAGCAUAUCAGGGAGGAAACACCGGCUGGGCGAAAGGGCGGGUCUCUGGGGCAGUAAACUGAACGCUGAGGGAAACGAAAAGCCGUGGGAUAGCCGAACCAGGCAUUUAGAAUACCCCUGGGUAGUCCCACGCCCGUAAAACGGGUGGGCGCUAGGCUGUGGGGUUCCCUUUCCACGCAAAUCCCGUGCUCGUAAGCUAACGCAUUAAAGCGCCCCGCUCUGGGGGAGUACGGCCGCAAGGGUAAAACUCAAAGGAAUUGACGGGGGGCCGCACAAGCGGCGGAGCAAGUGGAUUAAUUCGAUGCAACGCGAAGAACCUUACCUGGGUUUGACAUAUACCGGAAAGCUGCAGAGAUGUGGCCCCCCUUGUGGUCGGUAUACAGGUGGUGCAUGGCUGUCGUUCAGCUCGUGUCGUGGAGAUGUUGGGGUUAAGUCGACGCAACGAGGCGCAACCGGCUAUCUUUAUGUUGCCCAGCACGUUUAUGGUGGGGACUCGUAAGAGACUGCCGGGGUCAACUCGGAGGAAGGUGGGGACGACGUCAAGUCAUCAUGCCGCUUAUGUGCAGGGCUUCACACAUGCUACAAUGGCCAGUACAGAGGGCUGCGAGACCGUGAGGUGGAGCGAAUCGCUUAAAGCUGGUCUCAGUUCGGAUCGGGGUCUGCAACUCGACCCCGUGAAGUCGGAGUCGCUAGUAAUCGCAGAUCAGCAACGCUGCGGUGAAUAGGUUCGCCGGGCCUUGUACACACCGCCCGUCACGUCAUGAAAGUUGGUAACAGCUGAAGUCGGUUGUGUGUUGAUU